rnacentral:rRNA from 1 species
UACGUAGGGUGCAAGCGUUAAUCGGAAUUACUGGGCGUAAAGCGUGCGCAGGCGGUUGUGCAAGACAGAUGUGAAAUCCCCGGGCUCAACCUGGGAACUGCAUUUGUGACUGCACGGCUGGAGUGCGGCAGAGGGGGAUGGAAUUCCGCGUGUAGCAGUGAAAUGCGUAGAUAUGCGGAGGAACACCGAUGGCGAAGGCGGCAUCCUGGACCGGCAUUGACGCUGAGGAGCGAAAGCCAGGGGAGCAAACGGGG